CUACAAAUGAAUUGACGGGGCCCGCACAAGCGGUGGAGCAUGUGGUUUAAUUCGACGCAACGCGAAGAACCUUACCAGGGCUUGACAUCCCCUGACCGCGUAUGAAAGUACGUUUUCACCCUCGGGUGACAGGGAGACAGGUGGUGCAUGGUUGUCGCCAGCUCGUGUCGUGAGAUGUUGGGUUAAGUCCCGCAACGAGCGCAACCCCUACGUUUAGUUGCUAACGCGUGAAGGCGAGCACUCUAGACGAACUGCCGUUGACAAAACGGAGGAAGGUGGGGAUGACGUCAAAUCAUCAUGCCCCUUAUGUUCUGGGCUACACACGUGCUACAAUGGCCGGUACAGACGGACGCAAAGCCGCGAGGUGGAGCAAAUCCUAAAAAGCCGGUCUCAGUUCGGAUUGCAGGCUGCAAUUCGCCUGCAUGAAGUCGGAAUCGCUAGUAAUCGCAGGUCAGCAUACUGCGGUGAAUACGUUCCCGGGCCUU
rnacentral:rRNA from 1 species